GACGGUACCUGAAGAAUAAGCACCGGCUAACUACGUGCCAGCAGCCGCGGUAAUACGUAGGGUGCAAGCGUUAAUCGGAAUUACUGGGCGUAAAGCGUGCGCAGGCGGCUUUGCAAGACAGAUGUGAAAUCCCCGGGCUUAACCUGGGAACUGCAUUUGUGACUGCAUGGCUAGAGUGCGGCAGAGGGGGAUGGAAUUCCGCGUGUAGCAGUGAAAUGCGUAGAUAUGCGGAGGAACACCGAUGGCGAAGGCAAUCCCCUGGGCCUGCACUGACGCUCAUGCACGAAAGCGUGGGGAGCAAACGGGAUUAGAUACCCUGGUAGUCCACGCCCUAAACGAUGUCAACUGGUUGUUGGACGGCUUGCUGUUCAGUAACGAAGCUAACGCGUGAAGUUGACCGCCUGGGGAGUACGGCCGCAAGGUUGAAACUCAAAGGAAUUGACGGGGACCCGCACAAGCGGUGGAUGAUGUGGUUUAAUUCGAUGCAACGCGAAAAACCUUACCUACCCUUGACAUGUCUGGAAUCCUGAAGAGAUUUGGGAGUGCUCGAAAGAGAACCAGAACACAGGUGCUGCAUGGCCGUCGUCAGCUCGUGUCGUGAGAUGUUGGGUUAAGUCCCGCAACGAGCGCAACCCUUAUCAUUAGUUGCUACGCAAGGGCACUCUAAUGAGACUGCCGGUGACAAACCGGAGGAAGGUGGGGAUGACGUCAGGUCAUCAUGGCCCUUAUGGGUAGGGCUACACACGUCAUACAAUGGCCGGUACAGAGGGCUGCCAACCCGCGAGGGGGAGCUAAUCUCAGAAAACCGGUCGUAGUCCGGAUCGCAGUCUGCAACUCGACUGCGUGAAGUCGGAAUCGCUAGUAAUCGCGGAUCAGCUUGCCGCGGUGAAUACGUUCCCGGGUCUUGUACACACCGCCCGUCACACCAUGGGAGCGGGUUCUGCCAGAAGUAGUUAGCCUAACCGCAAGGAGGGCGAUUACCACGGCAGGGUUCGUGACUGGGGUGAAGUCGUAACAAGGUAGCCGUA
rnacentral:rRNA from 1 species